rnacentral:lncRNA from 1 species
CUCGUUUAAUUUUCUUAAAAUUUUGACACAGUAUCUACUUUGACCCUUUGACAAAAAUAUAAAAAUUUAAAAAAAAAUUGAACCAACCGUUUGAUCAGAAAAUUACACUGGUUAUAUAGCAGUUCGAACAAAAAUUAUUUUGAUCAUUGAGAAGCUUAAUAUUCCCUUAACAAUCCAACGUCAUUAAAACGUUCUGCUGAUUUUACAGAGUUAUCUCCCUGUAGUGUUA